rnacentral:rRNA from 1 species
AUGUGUCGAGCUCUAGGUCCAUGUUUGUGGACCAAACGUUCGCCCCUUCGAUUAGUAUUAUUUUAUAUUUUUCAUUUUCGAUUUUAUUUUUUAUGUUUGCUUCUUUCCUUUUCUCCUACUUUCCCUUUUUGUUUUUCAUUUCGCAACAUUUACUCAAAUUCGGGAACAUUAUUUAAAAUCAUGAACAACUUUUUUUUCUUUUAUAAACGAUCUCUUUGUUUUUAUCUGCAGGAAAUGACCGGCGAAUCUCCAGGUAGUUGCUUUGUUUUCGAUCUGCAGGAAAUGACCGGCGAAUCUCCAGCUAAUUGCGCCAAGAACACCCAUCGGCUACAUUUCUAUGAGUCGAGCUCUAGGUCCACGUUUAUGGACCAAACGUUCGCACCCUGGAUUAGUAUUAUUUUAUAUUUUCCAUUUUUUAUUUUUAUUUUAUUUUUUAUGUUUGUUUCUUUCCUUUUCUCCUACUUUCCCUUUUUGUUUUUCAUUUCGCAACAUUUACCCAAAUUCGGGAACAUUAUUUAA